AGUUGAAACAACUUAAAACUUUUCUGUUCUCUUAACGAUUCAAACAGUUAUAAUUGUACAUGGCUUAGAAGUUAAGAGUAAAUACUGCUUUCUUAAUUAUGAUUUUUGAGUAAAUGUUUUUUUUCCGAGCUCCGCAUGUGUACGUCAUGACGUCAUGACGUUUUCUCUCUAACCUGAACGACGUUGACAGAAAAUUCUGUUCAAUAUGGCUGCCCUUCUCGAGCGACUGGAGAGCACAUUUGGAGAAACUUGCUGAAGACCGAAGAAAGAAACUUCAGACUGCAAGUAAUUUCAGGUGGAGACAGUAAACACAGAUCUACCAAGGGUCAGUGGCACAGUUCACCUUUUGUGGUAAGUUAUAACACUUCAUAUGUGGUCACAUAAGUAAGUUGUUUCAUCAGUUGUUCAGUUCUUAUAAAAUGUUGUAUAAUUGUACCAAAUCACUGAGGAUACAUCCAAUGUGUAAAUCACAAUCAACAAUUUUACUGUGAUAUUCGCUCGUGUUUAGAGAAUCUCCAUUAUCUUUGUUACUGAGUUUCCAUUUUUGUAGGGCCAAAUUUGUAUUAAAAAUUAAUAUUUUCAUAUGAUGUGAAAUGACUCAAUCAUUUCUAAUUUUUAGAAGAAAC